UACGUAGGGUGCAAGCGUUGUCCGGAAUUAUUGGGCGUAAAGAGCGUGUAGGCGGCCCGAUUAGUCCGCUGUGAAAGUCCAGGGCUCAACCCUGGAAUGCCGGUGGAUACUAUCGGGCUAGAGUCCGGAAGGGGCGAGUGGAAUUCCUGGUGUAGCGGUGAAAUGCGCAGAUAUCAGGAGGAACACCAAUGGCGAAGGCAGCUCGCUGGGACGUGACUGACGCUGAGACGCGAAAGCGUGGGGAGCAAACAGG
rnacentral:rRNA from 1 species